rnacentral:rRNA from 1 species
CAUUUUGACCCAUUUGAUCUCAAAUC